UACGUAGGGUGCAAGCGUUGUCCGGAAUUAUUGGGCGUAAAGGGCUCGUAGGCGGUCCAUCGCGUCGGGAGUGAAAAGCUGGGGCUUAACCCCAGUCCUGCUUCCGAUACGGGUGGACUAGAGGUAGGUAGGGGAGAACGGAAUUCCUGGUGUAGCGGUGAAAUGCGCAGAUAUCAGGAGGAACACCGGUGGCGAAGGCGGCUCUCUGGGACGGUACUGACGCUGAGACGCGAAAGCGUGGGGAGCGAACAGG
rnacentral:rRNA from 1 species